UAGGGAAUCUUCGGCAAUGGGGGGAACCCUGACCGAGCAACGCCGCGUGAGUGAAGAAGGUUUUCGGAUCGUAAAGCUCUGUUGUUAAGGAAGAACGAGUGUGAGAAUGGAAAGUUCAUGCUGUGACGGUACUUAACCAGAAAGGGACGGCUAACUACGUGCCAGCAGCCGCGGUAAUACGUAGGUCCCGAGCGUUGUCCGGAUUUAUUGGGCGUAAAGCGAGCGCAGGCGGUUAGAAAAGUCUGAAGUGAAAGGCAGUGGCUCAACCAUUGUAGGCUUUGGAAACUGUUUAACUUGAGUGCAGAAGGGGAGGGUGGAAUUCCCUGUGUAGCGGUGAAAUGCGUAGAUAUAUGAAGGAACACCGGUGGCGAAAGCGGCUCUCUGGUCUGUAACUGACGCUGAGGCUCGAAAGCGUGGGGAGCGAACAGG
rnacentral:rRNA from 1 species